rnacentral:rRNA from 1 species
UGGCGUCAGGAUGAACGCUAGCUACAGGCUUAACACAUGCAAGUCGAGGGGCAGCAUGUUGGUUGCUUGCAACCAAUGAUGGCGACCGGCGCACGGGUGAGUAACGCGUAUCCAACCUUCCCCUUAGUAGAGGAUAGCCCGGCGAAAGUCGGAUUAAUACUCUAUGUUCUUCAAUGCGGACAUCUAAGUUGAAGCAAAGAUUUAUCGCUAAGGGAUGGGGAUGCGUCUGAUUAGGUUGCAGGCGGGGUACGGCCCACCUGGCCUACGAUCAGUAGGGGUUCUGAGAGGAAGGUCCCCCACACUGGUACUGAGACACGGACCAGACUCCUACGGGAGGCAGCAGUGAGGAAUAUUGGUCAAUGGGCGCGAGCCUGAACCAGCCAAGUAGCGUGCAGGAACCGACUGCCCUAUGGGUUGUAAACUGCUUUUAUCAGGGAAUAAAGUGAGGCACGCGUGCCUUUUUGUAUGUACCUGAUGAAUAAGGACCGGCUAAUUCCGUGCCAGCAGCAGC